AGCCUGAACGCUGGCGGCGUGGCUAAGACAUGCAAGUCGUACGGAUGGAGCAAUCCAUCAGUGGCGAACGGGAGAGUAAUGAAUCGCUAAUGUGCCCCGGACUCAGGGAUAGCUGCCCGAAAGGGCAGGUAAUACCUGAUGAGACCACGAACAGGCAUCUGUUUGUGCUCAAAGGUCCGCCGGUCUGGGAGCAGGCGAUUUCGUAUCAGCUAGUUGGUAGGGUAACGGCCUACCAAGGCUAUGACGCGUAGCCGGACUGAGAGGUUGGCCGGCCUCAUUGGGACUGAGACACUGCCCAGACUCCUACGGGGGGCUGCAGUAACGAAUCUUCCGCAAUGCACGAAAGUGUGACGGAGCGACGCCGCGUGUGGGACGAAGUUCUUCGGAAUGUAAACACUGUCAAGGGUUAGAAAGUUCUGAUACAACCCCAGAGGAAAGGCAACGGCUAACUCUGUGCCAGCAGCCGCGGU
rnacentral:rRNA from 1 species